UCCCAAAAUUUCAUCUAUCUAUGCAAUAUUGAUCAAAUAAACUCAAAUAGAAAUUCGUUUCGAUUUUCAGAUGGGCGGCUAGGAGCAUCAUUUCGAGCACAGUAAAUUGCGGAUCAAGAACAUCGGUCUGAAAAGCAUUUGAAAUUAAAUCAACCUU
rnacentral:misc_RNA from 1 species